rnacentral:misc_RNA from 1 species
UUAACAAAUUUUGCUUUUCGCUCAGACUGCAAACUUCAGACAGCGUUCAAGGGUGUCUUCGGCAGGCGCGGGCCCGGGGGCAGAGGCCCCCCGGCGGCCGUGAGGCGGGCCCGCCGAAGCAACAAGGUACAAUAAACACGGGUGGGAGGUUGAAUUCAGAGAAUUCUCGCUCGGUAAUGAUCCUUCCGCAGGUUCACCUACGGAAA